UCGUACGUCAUAAUUUGACCCCAUCGUCACUUCCGCUUAAUUAAGGGCUGAAAGAUGACGUCACCCGCACAGAAGAAGACUAUAUCCUUGAGAGAUUUUCGACAUAGAACAUGAUGCUGCUUCACAUCCUCUUUUAGAGACUCAAGGAUUACAAGACCGAAUUAAGCUGCAGGACCCUCCUGAUUCAAAAAGACAUGGAACAUGACUCUGCUUCACAUCCUCUGUUUUAGAGACUCAAGAAAUACAAGACCAAAUUAAGGGUUUGCUUUUUAAUUCCCAUAAUUUUCUGGAGGAAGAAUUAGGGAAUAAUGCAUUGACAAUAUGCCAAACAUCCUAUAUCAAACUGAAUUACUGCAUGUAUUUACAAUAGAGUGUUGUAACCACUUCCCCCCCCCCCACACUACUGACCAAACAAAACCCAUAAACAAUUUAAGAGGGAUAGGGUUAUUUUAGGGGUAAUUAUACUUGCUGAUUGUAGCAGUAGUUUUUACAAUUAUGGAUGUAGAUAAUAAUGUUUAUAAUAAUAAUACUUAGAAUAAUAAAUUUAUUACAAUGACAUAACAGGAAUGAUAAAUAAAAAUUCAGCAAUAUAAUUUGUACAUGAAAUUGUGUAACAGUUUUGGCAAUGAAGAAUUUUAAACAAAAAUAAUGAUCAAUGAAUUCGGGGGGGG